CCUCUCUAGAAAACAGUGAUUGGCAGCCACUGAAAUUGAGUUAGCAACAACUCACCACUGGUAGAAUAACCACUUUUUUGUUAUUUUAUUUCAGACCAGUGUUCCGUUAGCCAUGAAAGUCCUCAGUACAAUGAUUUGAUGAGGCCGUGAUCUCGGAGAGUUAGAAAAUGAGAUGGGUUCUUCGGAUGGAUCAGGAGGAAAUGCUGAAUUGUAAAGGUUUGUGUAGCUACCUGCUUUGGAGCGGAAGGAAGGCUGCCCUCCCCCUGGAUCUGACCACUGACAUUAGGCAUGCGGGGCUGUAUGACCCAGCAGAGAGACCUCAUCCGCCAGCAGGGAAGUAACAAGCCCUCUUGGUCAGAUGCUGUUACUCUCUGGACUUCUGCCUUUCUAGGUGGGACAGUGUGGCCUCUUUAACCCCAUCACUGGAUCAAUGCUCCCAAAUUAGUGUAAUCAUCCCACUCAAAUUAAGUGAGCAGCUCCUGGCUCCUGGCUCUGCAACCCAGCCCUGGGCAUCCCUUCUCAGCCUGGCUCCCGCAUCCCCCUCUUCCUCCCUCUCCCCCAAAGCCCCCUGCUUGUGGGCUCCUUGAUAUUUUCCAGUCCUUCCCUAAUGAGCACUGCAGAAUUACAGCUAAUUAAGGAUGUAAAUGAUGCUGGAGAGAGAGGGAGAGGGAGAGGAUGGGAAGGGGCGGGGGGAGGGCAGCUACUUGCUGUGUGCAACUCUGCAGUAAAGUGUCUCCUACCUCAGCAGAAAAGUUAUCAUGGGAGACAAUGUCAACUUUAUGGAGGGGGGAGGGCCCUCUCAGCGCCUCUGUCCCCGCCUGCAAAAGCUGCUGCCUCUCUUUUAUGUGUCAGCGCUGUAGAUGCUGAUGUCCUCCCUCCCAAAUGCUGCUUUGUCAGCUGGCGCUGUCACACAGCCCUGGGUCUCUCUCUGCCUCUCACUGCCAUCCUCACCAUGCCAGGGCACCAGGGGCCUGUCUCCUUCCUUGCAAGGAGGUUUGCCUCUCUUCCUGCCUACAUGUCCUCCUCCACACCCAUGGUUUGGAGAGGAUCCAGGACUGGUCUCACUCCAUGAAGGAAUGUUUGUGCCUGUUGUGACACAGGCAGGAUGCUGCGUGGGCAGGAGCAGGCCCUGAUGGGGACAUCCACCCGACACAGCACUGCAGUGGGACUUUGGCUGCUGCACCACCAGGAACACAGCUCUACUGGGUCCUCUGAGAGCAUUUGGAAGCACUUCGGGUCCCUGUUGCCAUAUUUCCCUGCAACAGGGGGUUAUGAAAGCACGUUUGUCCCAGUGCUGUGUCUUGUCCAUCCAUCCAUCCAACGAAGGACCACACGUUGUUGGGUCAAAAGCGGGCGACAACAGCGGUGGUGGUUUUUGUUGUUGUUUCCCCAGAUCGCUGUGCAAUAUAUUCCAAUUUUUUUUCUUGUCAUUAAGCCAGUGCCUCGGAGAUGAUGAUGUAGUCCCUAUGUGGGCCGCAGAAAGCACUUCGAGCCGUGCUGGAGUCGUGCUGGGUGGCUCUGAUAGCAGAGCUAAUGGGAGCGAAUGGGAUGCAACGAACUGUUCUAAUGACACCAGCCAGGGAAGAGACAACAUGCCAAGACCCAGCUUCUCAGAACGGAUGUUGAAGGAGAAAACCAAGCAUGGCUGGCUGUACAGGACUGCCCUGAGAUGAAGCAGGAAUAACUGGAGGUUCCUCCACAGAUGCCGGUGGAGUGAUAUUGCAAAAGAGUCCCUGCUGGUGGUGUUUGGGCCUCUUCUGUGGGGUGAGGGUUUGUGCUCUGUCAUCUCCACCUUGCAGAUGAGGAAGCUGAAGCAUGGAGUGGAGUCUUCACCAUCUUCCACAACAAGGUAUUCUCCUGCACCUUCAGCCUGUUCUCUCAAACUGUUUCCUGGGAUACUUCAUGCUUAUUUGGUCAGCAUUUCCUUUCUCAUGAGGUCACAUUCCCAGCCCUUUCUAAGCUGUGUUUUUUAUGGCUCUUAGCUGAUUACAGUUUUAGUGGGGAGGAGGUGGCUGCGAGCGAUGACCUGUGAUUUCCAGGGAAGGGGAGAGCAUGUAAACUUCAAGCAGAGGGGCCUCCCGCUGGGAACAGCCCGUUUUAGAGCCCUUGUGUCAAUGAUGGCCUCCAGGGCACUUCCCCACUCUAUUUAUUUACCCGUGGGAAGCCCAGCAUGCCCCCUCCAGAGCCUAGGACAAGCAAAUCCCUCCUCCUGGCAAUGGGACAAAGGUCUUUCAGCCUGGACCUGGAAACUUCACAUGAUCUAUUUCCGAGACAGCAUCAGUAUGUUUAGAAAGUAUGAUUUCAGGUGAAAGGCUGUGAGGCUAUGGGACUAUCACACAGGGAAGCAUGAGAGCACACUGCAAGCACUGAACAUAGGUCUCAAUGAUUGCCAAUGUAUCCAGCUUUAGCUUUCAUCUGGGUGCUGCAGUUGCUGUGAGCCCUACAGGGUGUUCUAUGCAUGCAAGGCUGUUCCCAACACCUAUUCCCAACAAAUCCCUUUUAUCCUGGAAUAUUCACACUUGAAGUCAUUCAUUGAUGUUGCCCUUUAAAGCUCCAUGGAGAGCUAAGCCCAGAAACACCAGCUAUGAAGCAGCAUGUUAUGAGCUGAACUGUCCCUGCAGGAGAGGACCUGCAUCUGCUAAACACCUCCGGAAUUCAGGAAUAGGCCCCUAUGGGCUGUGCGGUGCCUCCAUUCGCCUCAGCAGGCUUAGCACCAGGGACAAGUUCAGCUCCACACAUUCCCUAACCUCCUUAUCCAGAAGCAUCCUCAGAGCCAAGGGCUGUGUGAGGCGGCCACCUGCAGCAGCACGACUUCAGCUGCAGCACUUUGUGAUGGGAACUUCUACCUGUGCAGCACCUGGUGCCUGGAGACAGGAGUGGGUCCUGAUCACACUCAUGCCUAUGGGAGCAAUGCGUCUCAUCUGUUCUCAUGGCAAGGCCAGGCAAAGAAAGGCAAGGCAGAGUACAACAAAGAAAGGCAAGGCAAGGCCAAAAAAGUCAAGGCAAAUAAAGGUAAGAGAAGGCAAGUUCUCUCUCCUCUGUGCAGUCUGGAAACCUUGGACAGAAGGGGUCUUCAGAGAUUAUUGAUGUAUCUGACUCUGAAAUUAGCUUCAUUCUUCUCUUCAGCCUCCUAAUGACAGACACGGGUCUCUGGGCAGUGAAUCAACAACCACGUGUGGAAGCGAGCAAGUGCCAGACACAAAUAUUGAUGUUCCCCUGACAGGCACCUCCAUGCUGGGCCUGGGUGAGGGUUGGAGUAGACACUGGGCCCAGGCCUCCAAGCAGGAUUUCCAUCUGCCAACACAGCUGAAGGUCUGCCCUUGUUUUCUGCGUGGGCCCCAUGGAGGGCUGGUGGCAGUGGUGGUGAGUUGGUGAUGUUGGAAAGGUGCUGGUGGUGCUGCCAGAUACCAUCUGCACAUGUGGGGUAAGCAGAUGCAUCUCACCUCAUCAUCGAUAGAGACCAUGCUAUAAAAAUCUGACUGAAACGUGGCUUUUCCCACAUGAACUUUAAAAUGUUUUCAGUUUGGAAAGCGUGGAGGCAUUUCCUUAACACCAAAUUUCUAUGAGAAUACACUGAGAAUUACAUAUACAUCCUACCAUUAAAAAAUACAACAAUUCUUUACCUUUUACCUUCUUUUGACAGGCAGGAAAAAAAAAUCAACUAAAAAAAUCUUCUACUUUGUAAUGUUUUAAAUCCAGCUUCAGAGUAAGUUUCUAGAAAUUUCCUUCCAUUAGCAAAAAAAACCUGCAGUCUUCUCAGGACUAUGUAAUAAAACAGAAAUAUAGAGAGCAAAGAGGGAAAAAAAAAUCAGUGUUCCUGACAGCAUUUUGGAAGAAAACAUAGUAAGUAUAAAUGGAGCCUUUUAAAACUCACAAGUUCACAGCAUGAUAAGACAGCAUCUUGUUGAGAAGUCAAGUCUCCAAAGUCUCCAAAGUCUCCAAAGGAAGUGUAGAAAUCCUCCUCUGCCAUUCACCUUUCUAAUUAGGCAGAGGGAGAUUUCUGGUGUGUGACUCAUUGCUUUAUGGAAAUGGUGGAGGCAUGCCCUCUUGCCAUGUACCAACUUCCAUCAGAGGAGCACAAAAACCUGUUGUCUCCUCUUUCUUCUCCUUCUUCCAGAAGGCAGAUUAAGUUCUAUAUUUGCACUGUACAAGCAUGAAGAUACCGAGACACACGUGGGAUUGCUUUUGUCACACUGUAUCAAUUGUCCUGAAAAGAGUCACUCUGCAGCUGCUGUGAGUAGUACAGAAGAGGAAAAUGCUCACUGAAUCCUCUCUAACAAGAAAAAGCAGUGUAGGAGGAGGCAGGUCCACUCUGACUUGUAGUGCUAUGGACCACAAGCUGUUGCAAAAGGAAGAGCAUUACUACUGGGUACUGAUGCCACAAGUUUCUGAGAAGAUACAGCACUUUGUGGCAAAUCUGUCUUCUGAUCUCAGGGUCACAUGCAAGGAAAUGAGCGAGUGAUGGGAAAGCCAGGAGGGAAAAAAAAGAGUUAUUCUCCAGCAAGACUGGACACCCCACCUGGGGUGGCCCUGGAGCAACAAGAACGAAUCCCUUUUUCACCCAUCUGCCCUGUGUAUUCCAGUCUGCUCCCCUCUUCUCUCACCCUCCCCCAGCUUGCCUUAUAAUUCAGGAAGAGGAGGCUGAAGAGAGUAAUAUUGUGCUGGAGAUAGGACUGGAAGGGCAGUAAUUUAGAAUCAGAGGCUUAUAGUAUUAUUGCCUGCAAAGCCAUUCAUGGGAAAUGAUUCCCCCCAUCCCCAUUCCUCCCCCCCUGCCCCACUCUCCUUGCUCUGCAAUAACAAUAACAGAAAUGCCUUCAGGAGGCUUUGCUACUCGAAAUGCAGGCAAAGAAGCGCUUUCCUCUACCACCCCUCUUCUUUCCCUUUUCUUCCCACCACACUCACUUGUCCCCCCUGCCUCCGAGCCUAACUGCCUUCUCCCUCCCUUCUCCCUCCCCCCCACCACAGGAUAAAAAAAUAAAAAUAAUAAUAGGGGUAAUAAGAGAGGAGGUAAUGGAACGUUCUCCAACUGGGCACAUGUCAGAAGCCAUUAUAUGUGGUGCAGAUUUGCAUAAUUCAAGAAGCAUCAAAUUAAAUUUGCAUAAUUCCUUUGAUUACACUUGUUAUUAAAUGUAAGUGACAUUGAUUUACAAAAUGGCCCAAUAUAAGGUUAAUAGCAAAUGUCACCUUCCAGCAGGGUGAAUAGGGUGCGUGUGUGGUGGUGGUGGUGAUGGAGGAGGGAGAAAGGGGGGCCCGGGGAGGAAGACGAGCAGACAAUUGAUUUCUGCUCCUCUCUUCCUUAAAGGGCUCAGGUCUCCUUUGCAGAGGAGCCCUCAGGUUUGGGCUUCAUGUGACUGCGGUGCAGCCAGGAUCACCUGCCAUGUGGUGUCGAUGCUGUCGAAGCACCCGACUAGAGCCUGGCUUUGCUCACUGCUCUCGUGGGGAGCCAGCAAGCCUGGCUUAGCACUGUGCAGAGGGAGCACAGAAAUCAAAACCUGGAAUGACAGCCAGAUGUGUAAGAUGCACAGAGACUCACAGCCAGCAGUGAACACUUCUGCAUACAGAACCCGCGGUGAUACAGACUCUGGGCCAUCGAACGCUGCCAGGGCACUCGGGGGCUGUGACACUGACACCAUGUCUGUUUUGUCGUGGCCCUCAGGCCAUCUGAGCGCUUGCUUUGCGAGUAGAGCCCACCUCUGUAUAUUGCUCUGCCUCUCUAUAUUCUGUGCAUUUUUCCAGACAGGUGUAAUUUCAUGCUGGGAAACUGACUGCCAAGUUGUGUGAGCACCCCGGGACUGUAAGUGAUAAAACAAAAUUAUGCGUGUAGUGGGAGUGGGCAAACAGCAGAUUUACGCGUUGCAGGCAAUUUCAGUGAUGCAUGUAUCUGGCCAUAAUCUUGUUUUGGUUCCACCGAAGCUUUCUUUUUUUGCAAAUCAACAGGCUGGGGGAGAAAAAAUAUCAUGAGUUCUGAUCAAACUAAAUGUCUUGUUCAGUGUGAAAAAAGUACGCUUAUUUUGGUGACUGAGCUCAGUAAACAUUGUCUAAUAGCAUCCAAGUAACAUUAAAAAAGAAAUGUCAUUCUGAACCAGUGAUCAGAGGGCUUUUUCAGGAUUUGUCAAAAGAGAAGGCGCUCAGUUUUCUGGAAUAUUUUUUUCUAGGGCUUCAGUUUUGCUACUUUAAACAGCACAGGCUGCUGAAAAUGCUGUGAAUUCACAGACAGCUCAGAUGUGAAUCUUCCUAAGAAAAAGUGUUCCAAGGAGAAGAAUCUGUCAGGCAGCCUGUCUGUCUCGAUGAAGAAGGUGCAGACCAUCUUCAGGAUGGCAAAGAGAAAGGUGAUGGAAACCAGGAGGGAGCCAGGCAGUUUUGGUUCCUAUACAGAGCUGGUGGGAUGCUCCACGCUCUCCUCUGGGGCUCCUGGCAGCUCUGGCACCCAGAAUGGCUUCUGAACAUCCCUCUGUUGCUGCAAGUGUUGGAGCUGACAUGCUCGGGGUGAAGGGCUGCUCACUGGGACUGAUCGCAGAGAAAAUCGUCCCUCUUGUCUGCAAGAGUGUGAGAUUACAUGGAGGAGGUUUGCAUGGAGGAGGUUUAAAGCAAGGCUCAUGAUGAGAGCUGACUGUGACAAGCGUAAGGAGGUGCCACUGAGUACAAUAGUUGGGUUGUUUCAUUAGGACUUUGAGAAUCAUUACUUUUUCUUCCAUUUGUCCAACUGAGAAUUCAGAGAGUUUUGGCUUUUUCUGGUUAACCUGAGAAGGGUUUUUUUUUCUGCGAUAUUUCAGUAAACCAGAAGGACACUGUAAGUUGUCUAGGCCAAAUGUGAUACAUUGAUGGCCGCUGUCUUUUCUAAAAAAAAGCAGUUAUUUCACACAGCAAAGACCAUUUCAACAUGAAAAAUCAAGUGCUAUUAUUCUUCUCCCAAAAUAUAAAACAAAACCUUUUGACUUUUCAAAAUUACCAUUUCCAUUUAAAUUUUCCCCUGGUGGCGGAUGACUGGCCAAAUUCAGCAUGAGCUAGCCAGCAGCCUGUCAGCUGAAGGCACCGUUUAUUCUGCAAAUAAACUUUAUUCACUGAAGUAAAAAGAGCAACGGCAAAUCCUGACACCGCGUUCCCAAAAGUUGGGCUGUGGUCGGAUCUGCGGUACGUGCUUCUGCCAAUAUUUGCAUAGCAUUCGAAACAACAGAGACCAUUUGGAGUUAUCUGGGGAGCACCAGGGCAGGGCGCUGGGCAGAGCCACGCACGGGCCCAGGCUGAGGUUUGUUUGCCCCGCGGCUCAACGCUAUCCGGCCUGCAGCGGUCAGUGCCACUCUCCUAAUGGAGAGCCCGCCACUUGUGCGUGCAAAGAAUCGCUUGGGUGUUAGUUUUUAGUUUUGUUUGCCAAUACAAGCCGCCCAUUAGCUAUCUUAAUCCUCUUUCCUAACAGGCUUAAAAAAAAAAAAAA